rnacentral:snoRNA from 1 species
GUCGACUUUACUCAUAGGAUCAUUUCUAUAGUAAACGUCCUCUUCUGAGCUCCUUACCAGAGCCACAGAAUCUCCAACCUGGCUGAUGAUUCGAUACCCCGGCGCCCUAGAGUGAAGCCUUUGUACUGCGGCCUCGGCUGCAGUGGUGAUGAUCUCGUCCUGACCAUGGUUUGCGACUUCGGUCCGCCUGGCCAGGUGGGUGCUGGCGGUCGUCUGACAGGC